rnacentral:rRNA from 1 species
UUUUUAUGAGAGUUUGAUCCUGGCUCAGGACGAACGCUGGCGGCGUGCCUAAUACAUGCAAGUCGAACGCUUCUUUUUCCACCGGAGCUUGCUCCACCGGAAAAAGAGGAGUGGCGAACGGGUGAGUAACACGUGGGUAACCUGCCCAUCAGAAGGGGAUAACACUUGGAAACAGGUGCUAAUACCGUAUAACAAUCAAAACCGCAUGGUUUUGAUUUGAAAGGCGCUUUCGGGUGUCGCUGAUGGAUGGACCCGCGGUGCAUUAGCUAGUUGGUGAGGUAACGGCUCACCAAGGCCACGAUGCAUAGCCGACCUGAGAGGGUGAUCGGCCACAUUGGGACUGAGACACGGCCCAAACUCCUACGGGAGGCAGCAGUAGGGAAUCUUCGGCAAUGGACGAAAGUCUGACCGAGCAACGCCGCGUGAGUGAAGAAGGUUUUCGGAUCGUAAAACUCUGUUGUUAGAGAAGAACAAGGAUGAGAGUAACUGUUCAUCCCUUGACGGUAUCUAACCAGAAAGCCACGGCUAACUACGUGCCAGCAGCCGCGGUAAUACGUAGGUGGCAAGCGUUGUCCGGAUUUAUUGGGCGUAAAGCGAGCGCAAGCGGUUUCUUAAGUCUGAUGUGAAAGCCCCCGGCUCAACCGGGGAGGGUCAUUGGAAACUGGGAGACUUGAGUGCAGAAGAGGAGAGUGGAAUUCCAUGUGUAGCGGUGAAAUGCGUAGAUAUAUGGAGGAACACCAGUGGCGAAGGCGGCUCUCUGGUCUGUAACUGACGCUGAGGCUCGAAAGCGUGGGGAGCAAACAGGAUUAGAUACCCUGGUAGUCCACGCCGUAAACGAUGAGUGCUAAGUGU